GCUGCCAUCCUACUGAGGAAAAAGACAUCAUUCUAAUGUACUGUAAUAAAUUCUGAUCAUGAAAUCAGCCCAUUAGGAAGCACCUCUUGGAGAUCAUGGAUAACAUGCUAGGAAAAUGCAUCCUUUUUUAGUGGGCUUAUCAAAAAUAGUGAUGACGUACAUCUUGCCAAACCUAUUGCAACCUCCCCUUAGAUGUUAAUAUUAUUGCUGGAAGUUGGACUUUUCAUAGAACAUGUGAGAGAUUAGCAAGAACAUGUGAAAUGUUUUCAACUGGGAAGUCGGAUACAGAAGCAUCAUCCACAGUUUUUAUUGGGCCGAGUCAAAUAGGGGGCCUCUACCUGGUUGAAUUAUUAAGGGAUAAUUGAUCAUGUCUGUAACUUGCUCUCAAAUGGUUCAGCCAAAUGUCAGAAAUGUCAGAGAGACAGAGAGAAGGAGACAGGAGGAAGGGAGAGAGAAAGAGAAAAAGAGAAGAUAUAGUAAAGGUGGCAAAAUGAUGAAAAUUGGCAAAUGUACGUAAAGGCAUACAGAACUUCGAUGAACGAUUCUUGCAACCUUUAUAUAAUUCUGAAGGCUUUUAAAAAAAUGGCAAGCUUUCAAAUAAAAGCAAUUUAGGAAUU
rnacentral:lncRNA from 1 species